AGAACGAACGCUGGCGGCAUGCCUAACACAUGCAAGUCGAACGAGACCUUCGGGUCUAGUGGCGCACGGGUGCGUAACGCGUGGGAAUCUGCCCUUGGGUUCGGGAUAACAGUUGGAAACGACUGCUAAUACCGGAUGAUGUCUUCGGACCAAAGAUUUAUCGCCCAGGGAUGAGCCCGCGUAGGAUUAGCUUGUUGGUGAGGUAAGAGCUCACCAAGGCGACGAUCCUUAGCUGGUCUGAGAGGAUGAUCAGCCACACUGGGACUGAGACACGGCCCAGACUCCUACGGGAGGCAGCAGUGGGGAAUAUUGGACAAUGGGCGAAAGCCUGAUCCAGCAAUGCCGCGUGAGUGAUGAAGGCCUUAGGUUGUAAAGCUCUUUUACCCGGGAUGAUAAUGACAGUACCGGAGAAUAACGCCCCGGCUAACCUCCGUGCCAGCAGCCGC
rnacentral:rRNA from 1 species